UCUUCUUCUUUUGGCUAGGGUUCUUCUUCCCGAGAUUCAUUGUACAGGGAAUAAUAUCAGUACUUUUCUUCUGGGUUGAUUUUAGUUUUUUUUUCUUCACGGUUUGAUAUGAUGAUUUGCAUUGAAGAGAAGAGUAACUGAAUUGAAGUUAGGGUUUCAAGUAAUCAAUCCGAGAAGAGUAACUGACAUUGAAGUUAGGGUUUGAAGCAAUCAAGCCGAAUGAAACAUAGGUCAUUCAGAUUUUCAUAGCUUCCAUCUUGAAGCUAUUUUAUUAUUUUUGGAUUGCAAAACAGGCCUGCGUUAUCGAAUCCGAUCAAACAGAUAAUAGGGUAGAGAAGAAGAAGGAUUAACAUCUCAAGAGGCUCGAUUAACACUUGCUGAAGCUGUGCAAAAAAACGUAAUUGAAUUUGCCUACUCCUUAUUAGAUUAACUAUUUUUUGUUUUCUCAUAUUAGGUUUCUGUUUGUAUUGAUAAUAUCUUACAACUCUCUACUUUUGUCUUUCUUAUGGGUCGCAUGGUCGAAAAUCGUUGUGCUGAAGACUUAAACAUCAAUCCUGCUUUGAAACCUGUAGUUCGCAAAACAAAAAGGAGUCGUGCUUUGAAACCUGUGGUUCAAAGAACAAAAAGGGAUGCAUAAUUUGAGUUCAGUAUUUCUGCUCAUCAAGGACCAUUUACAACAGUUCAGUAUUUCUGCUCAUCAAGGACCAUUUACAACAGUUUAGUAUUUCUGCUCAUCAAUUUUGGAACUAGCUAAGAAUGAAAAUUCUAUUAUGUAAUUUCAUUGAUUAAUUCAAUGUAGCUUAUACAGGUCAAUUCAAUGCCAUAUGGGUACACUACCUAGGGCACCUCCACCUUGGAGAUUGAUAUAUAAUUAUCUGUAGGUACUCAGCACCAAAAAUUCUUUGCUCUGAAUGUUCCAGCUGCAAACCAGUGAUACAAUAACAGAUUCCAAAAAUUACAAGCAUUGGCAAGUAGUGAGAACUGUUUCAUCUGAAAAUUCCGACGACCUUCGUGCAAAAGGUAACUGAUUGUUUUAUCCCCAUUACUUCCUUCUUUUGGCAUCACCUAUGAUAUUUUUGAAUUAUUGAAGGCAUGCUUAUAAUUAAAGUUUGUGGUAAGGCAAAAGUACUUUGGAAGAGAACGCCAUAAGCCACAUGUGGAUUUUAUUUGUCUUAAAUGUCAUAUAUCGCACAAGCAUGGGAAGGCGUACAAUUUGCAAUAUGACUUGCUAGAUCAACUCCUCAACUUUGGGAUAUAUAAUGUUAACAUUAAAGAUGCUAUCAUUUCUUAAUUGUGUAUAUUGUUCAUAAAGGAUUUUUCCGUCAUCAUCUGUUGAGCUUAACAUCCAUCGUCAGCUUACUAUUUACGGUUGCUACAGAAAAGCUUAUACACAUUAAUUCAACGCUUUCAUGUAUUAUCACAGUUUUCUUCAACCAGUAAAGUUAAUCUUGAA